GAGACUGCAAGCGUUAUUCGGAUUCACUGGGCGUAAAGGGUGCGCAGGCGGCCGUGUGUGUGAGGCGUGGAAGCCCGGGGCUUAACCCCGGAAUUGCACCUCAAACUACAUGGCUAGAGCAUUGGAGAGGGUAGCAGAAUUCAUGGUGUAGCAGUGAAAUGCGUAGAUAUCAUGAGGAAUACCAGAGGCGAAGGCGGCUACCUGGACAAUUGCUGACGCUCAGGCACGAAAGCGUGGGGAGCAAAAGGGAUUAGAUACCCCUGUAGUCCACGCCCUAAACGGUGCACACUAGGUCUUGGCGGAUUCGACCCCACCAGGGCCCAAGCUAACGCGUUAAGUGUGCCGCCUGAGGACUACGGCCGCAAGGCUA
rnacentral:rRNA from 1 species